rnacentral:rRNA from 1 species
UACGGAGGGGGGCUAGCGUUGUUCGGAAUUACUGGGCGUAAAGCGCACGUAGGCGGCUUUGUAAGUUAGAGGUGAAAAGCCCAGGGCUUAACCCUGGAAUUGCCUUUAAGACUGCAUCGCUAGAAUCGUGGAGAGGUGAGUGGAAUUCCGAGUGUAGAGGUGAAAUUCGUAGAUAUUCGGAAGAACACCAGUGGCGAAGGCGACUCACUGGACACAUAUUGACGCUGAGGUGCGAAAGCGUGGGGAUCAAACAGG